rnacentral:rRNA from 1 species
GACAGAGGUGCCGAGCGUUAGGCGGAAUCACUGGGCUUAAAGCGUGUGUAGGCGGAUCGUUAAGUACCUUGUGAAAUCCCACGGCUCAACCGUGGAACGGCUGGGUAUACUGGCGAUCUUGGGCCACUCAGGGGCGAGCGGAACAAGUGGUGGAGCGGUGAAAUGCGUAGAUAUCAUUUGGAACGCCAAUGGUGAAAACAGGUAGCUGGGGCUGUGCUGACGCUGAGACACGAAAGCCAGGGGAGCAAACGGG